UCUAGAACUCGAGAUAUGGGCUGAACACUGAAUAGUAUCUGGGCUGCAGGACAUAUUCCGACUUCUCCAUUGUUGUUACAAUUUGAACUUGAAAACGGUCCUUUUGAAUUUGGACUCUUCAUGAAAGUUUUAGGCCUAUGUCUUAGCUUUCUAUA
rfam:Populus trichocarpa scaffold_5_contig_291, whole genome shotgun sequence.